rnacentral:rRNA from 1 species
RUGGGCGCAAGUCCUGAUCNGUCCUGCCGCGUGCAGGAUGACGGUCCUAUGGAUUGUAAACUGCUUUUAUACGAGAAGAAACACUCCUUCGUGAAGGAGCUUGACGGUAUCGUAAGAAUAAGGAUCGGCUAACUCCGUGCCAGCAGCCGCGGUAAUACGGAGGAUCCAAGCGUUAUCCGGAAUCAUUGGGUUUAAAGGGUCCGUAGGCGGUUUAAUAAGUCAGUGGUGAAAGCCCAUCGCUCAACGGUGGAACGGCCAUUGAUACUGUUAGACUUGAAUUAUUAGGAAGUAACUAGAAUAUGUAGUGUAGCGGUGAAAUGCUUAGAGAUUACAUGGAAUACCAAUUGCGAAGGCAGGUUACUACUAAUUGAUUGACGCUGAUGGACGAAAGCGUGGGUAGCGAACAGGAUUAGAUACCCUGGUAGUCCACGCCGUAAACGAUGGAUACUAGCUGUUGGAAGCAAUUUCAGUGGCUAAGCGAAAGUGAUAAGUAUCCCACCUGGGGAGUACGUUCGCAAGAAUGAAACUCAAAGGAAUUGACGGGGGCCCGCACAAGCGGUGGAGCAUGUGGUUUAAUUCGAUGAUACGCGAGGAACCUUACCAAGGCUUAAAUGUAGAUUGACCGGUUUGGAAACAGAUCUUUCGCAAGACAAUUUACAAGGUGCUGCAUGGUUGUCGUCAGCUCGUGCCGUGAGGUGUCAGGUUAAGUCCUAUAACGAGCGCAACCCCUGUUGUUAGUUGCCAGCGAGUCAUGUCGGGAACUCUAACAAGACUGCCAGUGCAAACUGUGAGGAAGGUGGGGAUGACGUCAAAUCAUCACGGCCCUUACGCCUUGGGCUACACACGUGCUACAAUGGCCGGUACAGAGAGCAGCCACUGGGCGACCAGGAGCGAAUCUAUAAAACCGUGUCACAGUC